rnacentral:rRNA from 1 species
UACGGAGGGUGCAAGCGUUAUCCGGAUUCACUGGGUUUAAAGGGUGCGUAGGCGGGCAGGUAAGUCCGUGGUGAAAUCUCUGAGCUUAACUCAGAAACUGCCAUGGAUACUAUUUGUCUUGAAUAUUGUGGAGGUAAGCGGAAUAUGUCAUGUAGCGGUGAAGUGCUUAGAUAUGACAUAGAACACCAAUUGCGAAGGCAGCUUACUACACAGUUAUUGACGCUGAGGCACGAAAGCGUGGGGAUCAAACAGG